CUCUGGAAGAGAUUACAAGGCUGAUAGUGUUGAAAGCCGCCCCGGCCUCGUGUCCUGGAUUCAUAUUCCGGACCCCCCGAGGCUUCUACUCACCAUUCUUUUCUGGUGAGUGGUUGAAUUGAACAUGGAAAAUGCUCUGAGCUGCACCAGCUCCUCCUCCGCGCCUAUUCUCCACCACCCUCUCUCUUCGGCGUCGUUCACUCCUCAGUUUUCUUCACAGCUCCGACUAUCGAGACUUAAACGUUCAAACUCAGUAGGCCAGCAUCGGAAUCGUUCCCUGGUCAUAAGCAAGGCUUGUGGGCCCCAAGGAAAUGGGUUCCCAAUUAUCCCCACCAGGAUUUUCAUCGAAGAGGCAAUUGGAGCUGAAUAUGGAGAGGGAUUUGAGACUUUUAGACCAGAUGGGCCCCUCAAAAUCGAUGUGGAUUUCUUGAAUGAUAGGCUACAAGAAGGUUUUCUUCAGAGAAUUCGUUAUGCCAUGAAACCUGAUGAAGCAUAUGGCCUUGUCUUCUCUUGGGACAAUGUGGUGGCUGAUACUCGAGGUUUGAAGUUAAAUGCCUGGAAAAAACUUGCCGCGGAGGAAGGAAAGGAGUUUCCUGAAGACGAUGAAAUACAAAGACUCAUGCUGUACGCUGGUGCUGAACAUGUUUUACAUAAGGUUUUGCUCUGGGAGAAGGCAGAGAAUGAUAUGGACAGAUUAAAACUGAGACUUUCGCAGUUAUAUUAUGACAAUCUUCUCAAGCUUUCAAAACCAGUCGAAGGACUAAAAGAUUGGUUAGAUGCAGUGUCAACUGCACGCAUCCCUUGUGCUGUCGUCUCAAGUCUUGAUCGGAGAAGUAUGAUUGAGGCGUUGGAAAGGAUGGGUCUUAUAAAGUAUUUUCAGGCAGUUGUGGCCGAGGAGGAUGGUAUGGAGUCCAUAGCGCACAGGUUUCUUUCUGCUGCAGUGAAGUUGGACAGGAAGCCAUCGAAGUGUGUGGUUUUUGAAGAUGAUCCAAGGGGGAUAACUGCUGCUCAUAACUGUACAAUGAUGGCUGUAGCAUUAAUUGGUGCUCACCCGGCGUAAGUGUUCAUGUUGAUGAUUGUAUGUGCCUGUCUUUUAUUUCAGAAAGAAAGAUGCAGUGAAGUUUCAAGGUAUGAGCUACAGCAGGCUGACCUUGCGGUCGCCAGCUUUACUGAGCUCUCUGUUAUCAACCUUCGAAGAUUGUUUGCGCAUAAAGGUUCCUCUUUCAUGGACAUGCAGAAGCAAAUAAUCGAGAAAUCUCCUCCUAGAAGGAAGCUUACCAUUGACACAAUUUUCUAACUUACAGAGGGAAUCGUCCUGUUCUCUAUUUCCAUGCUCGUAUCAAAGUGACGCUUAUGUCCUGAUUCUUUUCCGUCAAAAUUUAUAUACUACUCUCUCUCGAAAUUGAUAGUGUGAUAUGUUUCACUUGUACAGAACACAUUCAUUGUUAAAAAUCACCAAAGCAGAUUAUUUCUUCGUUUCUUC